rnacentral:rRNA from 1 species
UGGGUGGCGAGUGGCGGACGGGUGAGGAAUACAUCGGAAUCUACCUUUUCGUGGGGGAUAACGUAGGGAAACUUACGCUAAUACCGCAUACGACCUUCGGGUGAAAGCAGGGGACCUUCGGGCCUUGCGCGGAUAGAUGAGCCGAUGUCGGAUUAGC